CAAACUUGGUCAUUUAGAGGAAGUAAAAGUCGUAACAAGGUCUCCGUUGGUGAACCAGCGGAGGGAUCAUUACCGAGUUUACAACUCCCAAACCCUUAUGUGAACCGUACCUAUCGUUGCUUCGGCGGGAACGCCCCGGCGCCCUGCGCCCGGAUCCAGGCGCCCGCCGGAGACCCCAAACUCUUGUGUUUUUUUCAGUAUUCUCUGAGUGGCAAACGCAAAAAUAAAUCAAAACUUUUAACAACGGAUCUCUUGGCUCUGGCAUCGAUGAAGAACGCAGCGAAAUGCGAUAAGUAAUGUGAAUUGCAGAAUUCAGUGAAUCAUCGAAUCUUUGAACGCACAUUGCGCCCGUUAGCAUUCUAGCGGGCAUGCCUGUCCGAGCGUCAUUUCAACCCUCAGGGUCCCCGUUCCGGCGGGGAACCUGGUGUUGGGGAUCGGCCCGCCCCGCGCGGCGCCGUCCCCCAAAUUCAGUGGCGGUCUCGCUGCAGCCUCCCCUGCGUAGUAGUUACAACCUCGCAUCGGAGCUCAGCGCGGCCACGCCGUAAAACCCCCGACUUUCUGAACGUUGACCUCGGAUCAGGUAGGAAUACCCGCUGAACUUAAGCAUAUCAAUAAGCGGAGGA
rnacentral:rRNA from 1 species